rnacentral:rRNA from 1 species
AAUCAACGCUGGCGGCGUGCCUAACACAUGCAAGUCGAACGCGAAAGCCCCUUCGGGGGCAAGUAGAGUGGCGUCCGGGUGAGUAACACGUGGGUAAUCUACCUCUGGGUGGGGAAUAACUCGCCGAAAGGCGGGCUAAUACCGCAUAAUGCAGCGGCACCGAAUGGUGAUUAGUUGUUAAAGCGGGGGACCUUAGGGCCUCGCGUCUGGAGAGGAGCCUGCGGCAGAUUAGCUUGNGGUAGGGUAAUGGCCUACCAAGGCUGCGAUCUGUAGCUGGUCUGAGAGGACGGCCAGCCACACUGGCACUGACACACGGGCCAGACUCCUACGGGAGGCAGCAGUGGGAAUUUUGGGCAAUGGGCGAAAGCCUGACCCAGCAACGCCGCGUGAAGGAGGAAAUCCUUCGGGAUGUAAACUUCACAGCAAGGGAAGAGCGCGCAGGGUCGAAUAAAUUCUGCGUCCGACGGUACCUUGCGUAAGCCACGGCUAACUACGUGCCAGCA